UAAAAGUAAAAGUUUAAAUUAAGUAAGUCAUUCGCAAGUCCGAAAUGCCACAUUUCAUUCGUCUUUUUGUUAGUAGGUAAUAAAUUCAUCGCAUAUUGUUUUGGAAAAAAACAAAAUAAAUACCAUAAUUAAAUGUUGAUAAUUUAGUAAAUAAUACGGUAAGUCCUUAGUCGUGCUCCAUCUCGCCUAAUAUCCCAGUUGUUUUUUAUGUGAUGGACGUGCUAUUCAACACCCAAUAUACAAGGAAUAUUGGAUCAAUAAAAACAUAAAUUCAGUAAGAUAAUUGAUCAAUACUGAAAUGCCAUAGAGUGGUUUCGAGGGAGAUCAAAAGACAGGAGUUAUCGCAUUUUGGACAAGUGCCAGAUGAAACGGCUAGAGGUUAAAAUGGGUCGAGUGAGUCUACGUGUCAUGCAAGGUAGCAUACGCGGUCAGUUUAAGUUUUGGAACAUAGUUGAAAACAGUAAGUUGUUUGGAGUCACUUUUGUGCUCAAUCUGCUAUGCAUGUAAUUGGUUUAUUUUUCUAGCAAUUUUAGUAUUUGGGCCAGGUACAGUUACUGUAUCAUCGACGAAGGGUGCAAGGAGAGCAGUUAGGUGUAGUUCGAACAUCUGCAUUCCAAAGGAUAUGGUUGGUCCGACCACAAUGUUCUGGAACUCCCGCGACAAGAGGACUGUAGUCGGAGUUAAUCUGACCAUUAUCGGACCAGAAAGAAUCUUCCCGUGGAUAGGAGCGGACCGUUAAGUGGCAUUGAGCUAUGAGCUCUCCUGGGUAUCCUCCAGGCCUAGGGUUUUCCUCUGCAAGGAAUAGGAAUCUCAGUUUACUUACAACAUUAUUUUAUCGAUUUUUAUCGACCUAUCGACCUAUCAUCAUUAUUUUAUCGACCACACUGCAAUAUGCUUUCUCGAUCAAAGAAAAUGACAAGGGCAGUAUCGGGAUUGAAUACUAGAACUGCUGACGUGGCAAGGGUAAUAUCUUCUGUAUGUGCAGAUCCACACAAUAGGUCGCAUUAGAAUCAUCAUUUUACUCUGGCUCAAGGAAGAAUUCAGGCUGGUUCGAGAUGAAUGGAUGAUGCUAUGGCACAGCGUUCCCUCGGGCCAAAAUUAUAGAGUUGGCCUACGACAGUACAUUUUUUCUAAUAUCACUCAAAGAAAACUCCAAGGGCAAGGGGAAUUCGAACCCAAAACCGCCCAUGUGGCAAUUACGAGAAUUGGACGCCCUAAAGGCAACACCCUGUAUUGAAUCCCUCCACAAUCAUUUUGAAAGAUUGACUUAGCGUACUUCAUUAAGCAUAGCACCAUUUUGGCUUAAUUAGUGGAAGGCAAGGGCGGAGGCAAGAUGAUUUCAAGAGUGUUCGAGGAGACGGGAUGACCCUUUUGUGCAGGAUCCCUUCAGGCAAAAAAUGUAAAGGCGGUCUGUCGAAGUGAAAAAGUACAAGUUAUACAGGGUGUAUACACUGCACGGUAGCCGGGAGUAAUGGAUAGAAUCCCCUCGUGAGCCUUAGGGCGGUUUUUUUCUCCCCGGAGCCGGGUCCCAUUAACAUCAACCCGUCGUGACUUGUAAAGGGGAGGAGUUGUGGCCGCCCGGACCGGUUUUAUAUCAUCCACAGUGAAUCCCUCGAGGGUCUGGGCCACAUCCAGUUUCUGGACCGAGUCGUCCUUGGGCUCGGAACGGGGGGAAUCGCCGACCUCCGCUAUUGAGCUCGUUACAAAAUGUUCUGUUUUUAUGAAUAGGUAUUCACAACAGGAGAACCGCUCUGACGGCCGUCUCCUUUGUCUUUUCGGUCCGCCCGGUCUGUUCCGGUAUUUCGAAACGGAUAAUCCUGUACCAUCGUGGUUUUUUCCCCCUUGAGCAGCUGACAAUAAAAAAAUUAAACAAAAAAACUGAAACGUGCGUGAUGAUCGAAGGCUGGAAGAAAAGUAGACAAAUGGACAAACGGAAGAAAAUUUGCAAUUCAAAUAAGUUCAGUCAUUUUUUUAUAUACAUACAUAAAUAGUCAUUUGUAGCUUUUUUACCUCGUUGUAACCAUGUAAAGCCCUCAAAGGAAGAAUAAAUAUAAAAGAAAACAUAAUUUCUUAAAUUUCUCAAAAAUCUAGAAUGCAACGCAUGUCUGUUUACUAAAUGUACACAUGUUUAGCAAAAAAUAUUCCUUUUGAAUAUGAACAAUUCCCUCUUGGAGUCUGAAAAGGGAUGAAUCUAUACUUUCUUAUCAUUUUGGACUGAUCAGCAAAUACACUCACUUAAUAUCUUGGAGAUUGGUUCCAUUGAUGUCUUAUUUCCAAGUAAAAACGAGUCCUUUUUGUUUUUCCGGAUCGUGUGUUGAUUCCAAACCGAAACGUCGCCUGCGGUUCCAAAAGGCCGCCGGCGGUACUAGGGAGGGCCUAUUUAAUUGUCCUAAUGACAAAAGACCUAUCAGAGGCAUAAUAAAAAAUAAAUUAAAGGGAGGAUCAAAGCUGGAUCUUUUUAUACUGGUGUUUCUGCUAAUGAAAUUCGACCCUUUAUUGCUACUGUUUGAAGGACUUCAAUGAUCUCCCGGAAAAGAGAAGAUACCGUCAUUUCCAGCCAGGAAUUGGAAAGAAUCAAAACGAAUAUAUUCCAUCUAUCAAUUGGAUAAAACACAGGCUUGAAAGCAUCAAGGUCAGAAUAUCUACUUAAAAACAGCAAAGACUUUCAUUUAUUAUUUA